rnacentral:rRNA from 1 species
GACGAACGCUGGCGGCGUGCUUAACACAUGCAAGUCGAGCGAUGAAGCUUCUUCGGAAGUGGAUUAGCGGCGGACGGGUGAGUAACACGUGGGUAACCUGCCUCAUAGAGGGGAAUAGCCUUCCGAAAGGAAGAUUAAUACCGCAUAAGAUUGUAGCUUCGCAUGAAGCAGCAAUUAAAGGUGCAAUCCGAUAUGAGAUGGACCCGCGUCGCAUUAGCUAGUUGGUGAGGUAACGGCUCACCAAGGCGACGAUGCGUAGCCGACCUGAGAGGGUGAUCGGCCACAUUGGGACUGAGACACGGCCCAGACUCCUACGGGAGGCAGCAGUGGGGAAUAUUGCACAAUGGGGGAAACCCUGAUGCAGCAACGCCGCGUGAGUGAUGACGGUCUUCGGAUUGUAAAGCUCUGUCUUCAGGGACGAUAAUGACGGUACCUGAGGAGGAAGCCACGGCUAACUACGUGCCAGCAGCCGCAGUAACAC